GGGGAUCCCCGUGAGACCCCCGGGGGACCACCCUGCGUGAGGGAGGUGGUGGUGGCGGUGGGCGGAGGCGGUGGGAGGACACCGAGGACGGUCGGUGAGGAGAGCGAUUCUGGGGGUGGUGCAGAGGCUCGAUGGUGGAUGCUGUGCCAGCCAGUGCCACAUUGCACCUCUCUGCCCUCAUCUUUUCGAAUCGGGGCCCUAAUCCCCCUCUUUCACGGGGUACUGUCGGGUCAAGGCAUCCAUCCUCUAGCUGAAGGAGAGGACCUGGGUGAGGAGCUGCUGCCACCCGGGCUGGGCCAGGACCUGAGAUCUCAUUGCUCCUGCUGCCGCUGCUGCCUGGGGGACCUUUCUGAGACCCAGGUCGGGGACAGUGCCGGAGGGGCCUCCUCUGCUGCAGACAUCUGAGCAGAGACGACUGGCCGCCCUGAGCGCAAUUCAAUUCAACAGACAUUUACUGAGUGCCUACUAUGCGCCAGGCCUUAGGCUGGGCACUGGGGGAG
rnacentral:lncRNA from 1 species